rnacentral:rRNA from 1 species
GACGUAGGAGGCGAGCGUUGUCCGGAUUCAUUGGGCGUAAAGAGCUCGUAGGCGGUUUGUUGCGUCGGCUGUGAAAUCCCGAGGCUCAACCUCGGGUCUGCAGUCGAUACGAGCAAACUAGAGUGUUGCAGGGGAGACUGGAAUUCCUGGUGUAGCGGUGAAAUGCGCAGAUAUCAGGAGGAACACCGGUGGCGAAGGCGGGUCUCUGGGCCGAUACUGACGCUGAGGAGCGAAAGCGUGGGGAGCGAACAGG